UUCCUACGGGGCGCAGCAGUGGGGAAUAUUGGGCAAUGGGCGCAAGCCUGACCCAGCAACGCCGCGUGAAGGAAGAAGGCUUUCGGGUUGUAAACUUCUUCUCUUGGGGACGAAGAAAGUGACGGUACCCAAGGAAUAAGCCACGGCUAACUACGUGCCAGCAGCCGCGGUAAUACGUAGGUGGCAAGCGUUAUCCGGAUUUAUUGGGUUUAAAGGGUGCGUAGGCGGAAUGCCAAGUCAGCGGUAAAAUCGCGGGGCUCAACCUCGCUCCGCCGCUGAAACUGGCGUUCUUGAGUGGGCGAGAA
rnacentral:rRNA from 1 species